rnacentral:rRNA from 1 species
GAGUUUGAUCGUGGCUCAGAAUGAACGCUGGCGGUAGGCCUAACACAUGCAAGUCGAACGGCAGCACAGUAAGAGCUUGCUCUUACGGGUGGCGAGUGGCGGACGGGUGAGGAAUACAUCGGAAUCUACUUUUUCGUGGGGGAUAACGUAGGGAAACUUACGCUAAUACCGCAUACGACCUACGGGUGAAAGCAGGGGAUCUUCGGACCUUGCGCGAUUGAAUGAGCCGAUGUCGGAUUAGCUAGUUGGCGGGGUAAAGGCCCACCAAGGCGACGAUCCGUAGCUGGUCUGAGAGGAUGAUCAGCCACACUGGGACUGAGACACGGUCCAGACUCCUACGGGAGGCAGCAGUGGGGAAUAUUGGACAAUGGGCGGCAAGCCUGAUCCAGCCAUACCGCGUGGGUGAAGAAGGCCUCGGUUGUAAG